UACGGAGGGUGCAAGCGUUAUCCGGAUUCACUGGGUUUAAAGCGUGCGCAGGCGGUUUUGUAAGCCAGAUGUGAAAUCCCAGGGCUUAACCUCGGAACUGCACUUCUAACUACCGGGCUAGAGUACGUCAGAGGGGGGUAGAAUUCCACGUGUAGCAGUGAAAUGCGUAGAGAUGUGGAGGAAUACCGAUGGCGAAGGCAGCCCCCUGGGAUGAUACUGACGCUCAUGCACGAAAGCGUGGGGAGCAAACAGG
rnacentral:rRNA from 1 species